rnacentral:rRNA from 1 species
AUUGAACGCUGGCGGCAGGCUUAACACAUGCAAGUCGAGCGGGGUGAUGGUGCUUGCACUAUCACUUAGCGGCGGACGGGUGAGUAAUGCUUAGGAAUCUGCCUAUUAGUGGGGGACAACAUCUCGGAAGGGACGCUAAUACCGCAUACGUCCUACGGGAGAAAGCAGGGGAUCACUUGUGACCUUGCGCUAAUAGAUGAGCCUAAGUCGGAUUAGCUAGUUGGUGGGGUAAAGGCCUACCAAGGCGACGGUCUGUAGCGGGUCUGAGAGGAUGAUCCGCCACACGGGGACUGAGACACGGCCCAGACUCCUACGGGAGGCAGCAGUGGGGAAUAUUGGACAAUGGGGGGAACCCUGAUCCAGCCAUGCCGCGUGUGUGAAGAAGGCCUUAUGGUUGUAAAGCACUUUAAGCGAGGAGGAGGCUCUUUUGGUUAAUACCCAAGAUGAGUGGACGUUACUCGCAGAAUAAGCACCGGCUAACUCUGUGCCAGCCGCCGCCGUAA